AUGAACGCUGGCGGCGUGCCUAAUACAUGCAAGUCGAGCGAACAGACGAGGAGCUUGCUCCUCUGACGUUAGCGGCGGACGGGUGAGUAACACGUGGAUAACCUACCUAUAAGCCUGGGAUAACUUCGGGAAACCGGAGCUAAUACCGGAUAAUAUAUUGAACCGCAUGGUUCCAUAGUGAAAGACGGUUUUGCUGUCACUUAUAGAUGGAUCCGCGCCGCAUUAGCUAGUUGGUAAGGUAACGGCUUACCAAGGCAACGAUGCGUAGCCGACCUGAGAGGGUGAUCGGCCACACUGGAACUGAGACACGGUCCAGACUCCUACGGGAGGCAGCAGUAGGGAAUCUUCCGCAAUGGGCGAAAGCUUGACGGAGCAACGCCGCGUGAGUGAUGAAGGUCUUCGGAUCGUAAAACUCUGUUAUUAGGGAAGAACAAAUGUGUAAGUAACUAUGCACGUCUUGACGGUACCUAAUCAGAAAGCCACGGCUAACUACGUG
rnacentral:rRNA from 1 species